GAUGAACGCUAGCGACAGGCUUAACACAUGCAAGUCGAGGGGUAACAGGGGAGCUUGCUCCCGCUGACGACCGGCGCACGGGUGCGUAACGCGUAUACAACCUGCCUCAAAGCGAGGGAUAACCCAGAGAAGUUUGGACUAAUACCUCAUAGUAUAUAUUAGAGGCAUCUUUGAUAUAUUAAAGAUUUAUUGCUUUGAGAUGGGUAUGCGUAUGAUUAGCUAGUUGGUAAGGUAACGGCUUACCAAGGCUACGAUCAUUAGGGGUUCUGAGAGGAAGGUCCCCCACACUGGUACUGAGACACGGACCAGACUCCUACGGGAGGCAGCAGUGAGGAAUAUUGGUCAAUGGGCGAGAGCCUGAACCAGCCAAGUCGCGUGAAGGAAGACGGUCCUAUGGAUUGUAAACUUCUUUUGUACAGGAGUAAAGUGAGUUACGAGUAACUUUUUGCAAGUACUGUACGAAUAAGCAUCGGCUAACUCCGUGCCAGCAGCCGCGGUAAUACGGAGGAUGCGAGCGUUAUCCGGAUUUAUUGGGUUUAAAGGGUGCGCAGGCGGUAUUACAAGUCAGAGGUGAAAUCUUGGUGCUUAACAUUAAAAUUGCCUUUGAAACUGUAGUACUUGAGUGUAAAAGAGGUAGGCGGAAUGUGUUGUGUAGCGGUGAAAUGCUUAGAUACAACACAGAACACCGAUUGCGAAGGCAGCUUACUAUAAUACAACUGACGCUCAUGCACGAAAGCGUGGGGAUCAAACAGG
rnacentral:rRNA from 1 species